AUGGCCGCCGCGCCGGUGGCGUCCCCCUUCCCCACGCUCCCCUCGCCCUCCCCCACCCUCAGCACGUCCCCGCGCCGUCUUCACGGCCGCGCGGUCCCGCCACCAGCGGCGGCCGCCUCGCCGCGCGAGCAGCAGCAGCAGCAGCAGAGCGCCAGGGGCGCGGCGGGCGCGGGGGAAAGCAGGCGGCGGCGGGAGGAGGAACAGGCGGAGGCCGCGGCGGAGGAGUUCGAGCGGCAGCGGAAGGAGGAGGUGAACCGCAAGAUCGCCUCCCGGAAGGCGCUCUCCAUCAUCCUCCGGCGCGAGGCCACCAAGGCCGUCCUCGACAAGCGCGAGCCCGGCAAGGGCACCCGCCGCCUCCUCCCCCGCACCGUCCUCGAGGCCCUUCACGACCGCGUCGCCGCGCUCCGCUGGGAGUCCGCCCUCAAGGUGUUCGAGCUAAUGCGGGACCAGGUGUGGUACAGGCCGUACGUCGGGAUAUACAUCAAGCUCAUCACCAUGCUCGGCAAGUGCAAGCAGCCGGGGAAGGCGCACGAGCUCUUCCAGGCCAUGGUCGACGAGGGCUGCGCCCCCAACCUCGAGUCGUACACUGCCCUUGUCUCCGCGUACAGCAGGAGCGGCAGCUUCGACAGGGCUUUCUCCUUGCUUGAUCAGAUGAAGGCCACUCCUGGUUGCCGGCCCGAUGUGCAGACAUACUCGAUCCUCAUCAAGUCCUGCUUGCACGCCUAUGACUUCGACAGGGUGAAGGACUUGCUGGAGGAUAUGGCGCGCGCGGGUAUCCGCCCCAACACCGUGACUUAUAAUACUCUCAUUGAUGCUCAUGGGAAAGCAGGAAGGUUUGCUGAGAUGGAGUCAACUCUUCUUGAGAUGUUGUCUGAAGACUGCAAGCCUGAUGUGUGGACAAUGAAUUCUACUCUGAGAGCUUUCGGUAGCAGUGGUCAGAUUGAGACAAUGGAAAGCUGCUACGAGAAGUUCCAGGCAUCUGGUAUCUCCCCAAACAUUAAGACCUACAACAUUUUACUUGAUUCCUAUGGUAAAGCCAAAAUGUAUGAGAAGAUGGGAGCAGUGAUGGAGUACAUGCAGAAGUAUUACUAUUCUUGGACAAUAGUCACAUACAACGUAGUUAUUGAUGCAUUCGGAAGGGCCGGCGAUCUUGAACAGAUGGAAUACAUCUUUAGAUUGAUGAAAUCAGACCGUAUAAAACCUAACUGUGUCACCCUCUGUUCAUUGAUUAGAGCAUAUGGAAGGGCUGACCAAGUAAAGAAAAUAGAGACAGUGUUAAGAGUUGUUGAGAAUUCAGAUAUCACGUUGGAUAUUGUGUUUUUCAACUGUUUGGUGGACGCAUAUGGGAGGGUGGGGCGCUUGGCAGAGAUGUGGGAUGUUCUCAAUAUGAUGAAGGAAGAGCAAAUAAGACCAGACAAGCAAGCCAAUGCAAGGCCACUCGCAGUGAACAACCUGAUCAGGUUCUCUGUCUCUGCUAUUGUGGUACUGGAGUCGGCCAAGAGGAAGGGCCGGAGGCACGCCGUGGACGCGAGGGAUGAGGCCGCCGCGCAGCAGGAGUUCACCAACGCCCGCGUCGCUGCGGCAAUGAGGGAGGCGCUCUACAUGCUAGGGGUAAACCCUAGGCAGCACAGCGUCCUCCAAGCCGCCGUCGCCGCGGCCAGUACCGGCUCGUCGGCAUUUCCUCGGAUGGUGCUGCCCGACUCACCCCGCGCGUCGACUUGCAACCCGGUCCCCGGCUUCCACGUCUACCCGCAGGCCUCCCGUCUCUCCGGGGAGUGCUCACCCGACGUGAGCGUGGUCGCGCCUUCCACGCCCGCGCCCGCGCCCAUCGACCUCAACGCCACCCCGGUGGUCGGUGGCUCGUCGUCCGGCGGCACGAGAAAACGCGCGCGACAGACGCCAGCCGACGGGCUCCCGGACGCCCGUAACCUGUUCGAGGAAAUGUCGUCCGCCGUCGACGAGGACUACAUGCAAAACCUCAUCUUCGAGGGUGAGGACUAUGGGCUAGAGGAAGAGGACGAGUGCGACAUCGAAGUGGAGCCUUUGUUCGAGGACGAGCUAGCCAACCAAACCGCCGGUCCUAAGCCGAAGCGCAAGAGCAAGCACACGAAGGCGUACACAGCUGCCGAGGACAAGCUUCUUUGCGAGUGUUGGCGAGACAUUGGACAAGACCCAAAGACGGGCGCCGAGCAAAAGCAUUCGACCUUUUGGACUCGUGUGCACCGCGAGUUUCAUGAGCGCAAGAAGUUUCCACCUUACCAAUUUGUGAGCACGCGCGGGUGGGUCUCCAUUUCCAGGCGGUGGAGGAUGAUCCAACAAGAGUGCAACAAGUUUUGCGCCACCCUUGAGAGCGUCAAGGCCCGCCCCGUGAGCGGCAUCGGCGUGCAAGACAUGGCAUUUCAAGCUUUGGAGGCAUUCAAGGUUCAACACAAUGGCAAGUGCUUCAACCUCUCCCAUUGCUAUCGGGUCAUCAAGGACGAAGAGAAGUUCAAGGCACAAUAUGCCACACUCAAGGCACGUGGGGGGAAGGGCGCCGUGGAGGAUGUUGGGGAGGGCGAGCCGGCACGGCCGCGGGGGAAGACCAACUCCAAGAAGGAGGACAAGCGAGAUGCGGCCACCAACGCCUUGAUCGCAAGCGUGGACGGCAUGAUGAAUAAGAAGGACUCAAGGAAGGAGGAGCGCCGGCGUUUCAAGGCGGAGCAAAUGGAUGUUUUCAUGGAGAUCCAAAGGAGGAGGCUUGAUCUUGACGCUGAGAAGCAAGCCAAGAUGUUCGAGCUCGAGGCGGAGAAGCAAGCCAAGAUGCUAGAGAUCGAGGCCGCCAACGCCAAGACAAAGGCGAAAGAAGUGGCUCUUGCAAGCAUGAUGACCGGGGUGGAGAUCAUGAAGGUGGAUCUCAACGCUUUGUCGCCAAGGAAGAGGUCGUGGUUCAAGAAGAUGCAGGCUGACAUGCUCAAGUUCGACGACGAGUGA
rnacentral:rRNA from 1 species